rnacentral:rRNA from 1 species
UACAGAGGGUGCAAGCGUUAAUCGGAAUUACUGGGCGUAAAGCGUGCGUAGACGGUUACAUAAGUCGGGUGUGAAAGCCCCGGGCUCAACCUGGGAAUUGCAUUCGAGACUGCGUAGCUAGGGUGCGGAAGAGGGAAGCGGAAUUUCCGGUGUAGCGGUGAAAUGCGUAGAUAUCGGAAGGAACACCAGUGGCGAAAGCGGCUUCCUGGUCCAGCACCGACGUCAGGCACGAAAGCGUGGGGAGCAAACAGG